AUACGGAGGAUGCAAGCGUUAUCCGGAUUCAUUGGGUUUAAAGGGUGCGCAGGCGGAAUGAUAAGUCAGUGGUGAAAUCUCCCGGCUCAACCGGGAAACUGCCAUUGAUACUGUCGUUCUUGAGUACAGUUGAAGUGGGCGGAAUGUGUCAUGUAGCGGUGAAAUGCUUAGAUAUGACACAGAACACCGAUAGCGAAGGCAGCUCACUAAGCUGUAACUGACGCUCAUGCACGAAAGCGUGGGGAUC
rnacentral:rRNA from 1 species